GUACCAGGGAUCAAGUUACUCCUGGGAAGCAUGCAAUUGUUGGAUACAUGAGGCCUUUUCUGUUGUCUUUUAGAUGUGAACAAGGCCCCCUGCACACACAAACGCCUUUUAACUGUAAAUGAGGGAUAUUCUAGUGUUGAUCUUGCGUUGAACUCAGUGUGGAACAAGGUGGACUAGUGUAGACCAGCUGACUGGGUGUAGCCACAACUAGUGAUAACAAACUCGUUUGAUUGUCAAUUCAUGGACCAAUCGUCAUAAAUUUCUCAGUCUCUUGUCAAAUUGCUAUAUCCUUCAAAUUAGUAGACUCUUAAGGUUGCCAGAAUCUCAUUCAACCCUGGGGUGGGGGGUAGCUUGGGAGCAUGGGUAGCCAACUAUUGAUUCAAAUCCAUUGGAAUCAUUUCACACACACAUUCGACAUGGUUUCUUGAAACUAAAAUAUUAAUGGUAAUGAUAACAAAUGAUGCAUUUUGGAGCUGCAAUGGGAAUUUUAAAG
rnacentral:lncRNA from 1 species